AGCAGCCGCGGUAAUUCCAGCUCCAAUAGCGUAUAUUAAAGUUGUUGCAGUUAAAAAGCUCGUAGUUGAAUUUCGGGAUUGACACAUCGGUCGUGCCUUAAGGGGUAUGAACUGGUGUAGUCAGUUUCUCACCUUCUGGAGAACCGCGAUGUCCUUAAUUGGGUGCCGCGAGGAACCAGGACCUUUACUUUGAAAAAAUUAGAGUGUUUAAAGCAGGCAUUUUGCUUGAAUACAUUAGCAUGGAAUAAUAAAAUAGGACGGAUGGUUCUAUUUUGUUGGUUUCUAGGAUCACCGUA
rnacentral:rRNA from 1 species